GGGCCCGCACAAGCGGUGGAGCAUGUGGUUCAAUUCGAAGCAACGCGAAGAACCUUACCAGCCCUUGACAUCCCGGUCGCGGGAACGAGAGAUCGAUCCCUUCAGUUCGGCUGGACCGGAGACAGGUGCUGCAUGGCUGUCGUCAGCUCGUGUCGUGAGAUGUUGGGUUAAGUCCCGCAACGAGCGCAACCCUCGCCCUUAGUUGCCAUCAUUCAGUUGGGCCCUCUAAGGGGACUGCCGGUGAUAAGCCGCGAGGAAGGUGGGGAUGACGUCAAGUCCUCAUGGCCCUUACGGGCUGGGCUACACACGUGCUACAAUGGCGGUGACAGUGGGAUGCAAUGGGGCAACCCUGCGCAAAUCUCAAAAAGCCGUCUCAGUUCGGAUUGUGCUCUGCAACUCGAGCACAUGAAGUUGGAAUCGCUAGUAAUCGCAGAUCAGCACGCUGCGGUGAAUACGUUCCCGGGCCUU
rnacentral:rRNA from 1 species